rnacentral:rRNA from 1 species
AUGAUGAACGCUAGCUACAGGCUUAACACAUGCAAGUCGAGGGGCAGCAUCAUCAAAGCUUGCUUUGAUGGAUGGCGACCGGCGCACGGGUGAGUAACACGUAUCCAACCUGCCGACAACACUGGGAUAGCCUUUCGAAAGAAAGAUUAAUACCGGAUGGCAUAAUUAUUCCGCAUGGGAUAAUUAUUAAAGAAUUUCGGUUGUCGAUGGGGAUGCGUUCCAUUAGGCAGUUGGCGGGGUAACGGCCCACCAAACCUACGAUGGAUAGGGGUUCUGAGAGGAAGGUCCCCCACAUUGGAACUGAGACACGGUCCAAACUCCUACGGGAGGCAGCAGUGAGGAAUAUUGGUCAAUGGACGAGAGUCUGAACCAGCCAAGUAGCGUGAAGGAUGACUGCCCUAUGGGUUGUAAACUUCUUUUAUACGGGAAUAAAGUGAGCCACGUGUGGCUUUUUGUAUGUACCGUAUGAAUAAGGAUCGGCUAACUCCGUGCCAGCAGCCGCGGUAAUACGGAGGAUCCGAGCGUUAUCCGGAUUUAUUGGGUUUAAAGGGAGCGUAGGCGGGUUGUUAAGUCAGUUGUGAAAGUUUGCGGCUCAACCGUAAAAUUGCAGUUGAUACUGGCGACCUUGAGUGCAACAGAGGUAGGCGGAAUUCGUGGUGUAGCGGUGAAAUGCUUAGAUAUCACGAAGAACUCCGAUUGCGAAGGCAGCUUACUGGAUUGUAACUGACGCUGAUGCUCGAAAGUGUGGGUAUCAAACAGGAUUAGAUACCCUGGUAGUCCACACAGUAAACGAUGAAUACUCGCUGUUGGCGAUAUACAGUCAGCGGCCAAGCGAAAGCAUUAAGUAUUCCACCUGGGGAGUACGCCGGCAACGGUGAAACUCAAAGGAAUUGACGGGGGCCCGCACAAGCGGAGGAACAUGUGGUUUAAUUCGAUGAUACGCGAGGAACCUUACCCGGGCUUAAAUUGCAACUGACGGAACCGGAAACGGUUCUUUCUUCGGACAGUUGUGAAGGUGCUGCAUGGUUGUCGUCAGCUCGUGCCGUGAGGUGUCGGCUUAAGUGCCAUAACGAGCGCAACCCUUACGGGUAGUUACCAUCAGGUUAUGCUGGGGACUCUACCCGGACUGCCGUCGUAAGAUGUGAGGAAGGUGGGGAUGACGUCAAAUCAGCACGGCCCUUACGUCCGGGGCUACACACGUGUUACAAUGGGGGGUACAGAAGGCAGCUACACGGCGACGUGGUGCUAAUCCCAAAAGCCUCUCUCAGUUCGGAUUGGAGUCUGCAACCCGACUCCAUGAAGCUGGAUUCGCUAGUAAUCGCGCAUCAGCCACGGCGCGGUGAAUACGUUCCCGGGCCUUGUACACACCGCCCGUCAAGCCAUGAAAGCCGGGGGUACCUGAAGUACGUAACCGCGAGGAGCGUCCUAGGG